rnacentral:lncRNA from 1 species
ACAAACGUUCCUUAAGCUUGCUGCAAAUGAAGGAUGCAUUGUUGGGUCUAUGUCGUGCGUUGCGUUGAAGUUGCGGAUUCUAUUCUGGAAGGAUGAGCAGUGGGAAAAUCCGAUAGUGUGGCCUCCUGCAACAGCAUCAUGUGUAAGUAACAAGUUAAUCCCUUUUUGCUUUAGUUAAAUAAUGUUGAAUUAAAACAUAUAAAGUUUAUCAUUUCGGUUAACCUGAAAGAGCUACGAGGUCAUCCAUGGAUAGGCCUCUUUGAGAGAAGCUUUGUUGCAGUUGAGAUAUGUUGAAAGUCGGAGCCGGCAAUUGUAUAGUUUCGCUAGCCUUUGAUGUUCUACCAUCUUUUCUUCCCUUAGGCACUUCCCAUGUAGGACCUCCAGACUAUCAUGAAUUUGAUCAAAUAGACACCAUUAGAUCAAUCAUUAUGCAUGCAUAUAUUCAAUGCACAUACAGAAUCCACACUAAAGAAAGUUGUCGUCUUACGAGCACGACAG